CGGGCGGCGAGGCGGGCGCUGCCAGGGCGAGCCGGGGGGCGGCUCCCCGGACCGGCCCCCCGGGAAACGCGGCCCCGGCGAGCCCAGGCGAGCUGGAGGAGGCGGUGGUGGCGGCAGCCGGUGCCGGGGGCAUCGUGGUGCUGCCUUGUCCGAGGGACCGGCGCUGUGCCCCCCCUUGCAGCCCUGUUCCACCCCUUUGGAUCCAUUCUCUCUCCGUUGGAAGGCACCACUCCACCAGGACAGAGGAGCACACUUGUCCUUGUGGGUGCCUUUGGAACCACUCCACUCGUGGGUACAGAGGAAUCUGAGAUGAAAGAGAACUAGAUUCUGAUGAUCAUCUUGACAUUGUUGCUGUCACCUGCGUUGACAGCUAAGUGCAAGCAGAGGCUGGGAGCAGAAAGGCUGAAAGAUAAAAUGUCUUGCCCUACAUGCUUCUGUUUGGUAAGGAAAUUUAAUGGGCACUCUAAAAUGACCAUUUUAUCCAUCUAUUUAGAAAUAGACAGUGACUAUUAAAAAUUGAAGUGGUGUAAUACUCCAACAUUGCUUCAAGAACAUGUCAUAACUACUCACAUUGUAGCAUUUUUGGUUUGGAAAACUGAAGGGGAAUUUUUUCUUUCAGUCAGUGCAUCUGCAGUUUAUUUUGUUGUAGAAAACUUCCAGGAUGGGGCUACCACAGCUGCUCUGGGCAACCAGUGCCUGCCCACCUUCACAAUAAAGAAUUUGUUUGUAAUAUUUUAUGUAUGCA
rnacentral:lncRNA from 1 species